GACGAACGCUGGCGGCGUGCUUAACACAUGCAAGUCGAACGGUGAAGCGCCUUCCUUUUUGGUGGGUGUGGAUGAGUGGCGAACGGGUGAGUAACACGUGAGUAACCUGCCCCCUUCUUCUGGAUAACCGCAUGAAAGUGUGGCUAAUACGGGAUAUUCUGGGUCUGUCGCAUGAUGGGUCUGGGAAAGAUAUUGUUUCGGUGGGGGAUGGGCUCGCGGCCUAUCAGCUUGUUGGUGGGGUGAUGGCCUACCAAGGCGGUGACGGGUAGCCGGCCUGAGAGGGUGGACGGUCACACUGGGACUGAGACACGGCUCAGACUCCUACGGGAGGCAGCAGUGGGGAAUAUUGCACAAUGGGGGCAAGCCUGAUGCAGCGACGCCGCGUGAGGGAUGGAGGCCUUCGGGUUGUGAACCUCUUUCGCCAGUGAAGCAGGCCUGCCUCGUUUGUGGGUGGGUUGACGGUAGCUGGAUAAGAAGCGCCGGCUAACUACGUG
rnacentral:rRNA from 1 species